rnacentral:miRNA from 1 species
AGAACCGGCCUAGCGUUCGGA